rnacentral:rRNA from 1 species
GUAGGUGGCAAGCGUUGUCCGGAUUUACUGGGCGUAAAGAGUGUGUAGGCGGAUAAUUAAGUCAGGUGUGAAAUCCCGAGGCUCAACCUCGGAGGUGCAUUUGAUACUGGUUAUCUAGAGUGCAGGAGAGGAGAGUGGAAUUCCUAGUGUAGCGGUGAAAUGCGUAGAGAUUAGGAAGAACACCAGUGGCGAAGGCGACUCUCUGGACUGUAACUGACGCUGAGACACGAAAGCGUGGGGGGAGCAAACAGGAUUAGAUACCCUGGUAGUCCACGCCCGUAAACGAUGAAUACUAGGUGUCGGGGGUCGAACCCUCGGUGCCGCAGCUAACGCAUUAAGUAUUCCGCCUGGGAGUACGGUCGCAAGACUA